rnacentral:ncRNA from 1 species
GAUAGAAGAGAGCAGAUAAGAGAAGUCGGCAAAAUAGAUCCGGAAAAGGAUUGACUCUGAUGGCUGGAUGAAUAGCGCCUGUGUGUGCCACGAUUGUCGGGGCUGUGGUGCGCCCUUUCUUGCCUCGCGGUGCGUUUGUGGGCCACCGGCACUGACCUCGAUGUGGCAACCGGUCUGCGUACACAGUGAACACAGCUAAAUCAGAACUGGAGCGGGGAAGGGGAAUCCGAAUGUUUAAUUAAGACAAAGUCUUGCUAUGGCCGCAAACGGUCUUGACAGAACGUGAUUUCUGCCCAUUGCUCUGAAUGCCAAUGCGAUGAAAUUCAAUCAAGCGCGGGUUGACGGCGGGCAUAACUAUGACGUGGAGAAUUCGAGAGCUGGGUUUUGUAGUUGGGCGUUGCGGCACCGAGCAAAAGGGUUUAAAAGGGGAUGCGAGGAAGCGCCACCUCCUACAGCAAGCCCAGGAGUUAGGCCGACCGUCUUCACGCCUCCUAAUAUUACCAUAGUACUACCGAGUGCGUUAGUAUUGUUGUCGUAUUAGUAUAUUAGUGAAGCAUGCAGCUUGUCAUUUAAUUAGUGACGUGCAUGAAUGGAUUGACAAGAUUCCCACUGAAUUGUGACUGAACCUCUCGCCUGUAACUCAGAAUCCAUGCAUGCGGGCUAAGUAGUGUUUUUUAUCUCCUCAUUUGUUACUUGCAUAUGAUUUUAGUGCUUAUUAUUAAGCACAUCAUCUUAUAAGAUCCCUUGUCUGCAGCAUGCAAAUGGCCAUAAUCAUUGUCCCUUACAGUGGAGGUGCUAAACAUCACUUGCAGACAACUUUGGCGCAACCAGGUAUUGUAAGUGUGAGAGUAUAGGCUUCUCCUGCUACCCUCUAAGAUUCAUCCUGCUCCGUACGAUGC